GGACCAACCAACAUAUGGCGAGCUUGCCAGGAGUGAGUGACCACUGCGUCUGGAUGAUCUUCAUCCCACUGUGCAGCGCAUCAAAUUAUAAGGAAAGCUCAGGAGAGGGUACUAGGUGAGGACCCCGACUACCUGCCUGUGGAGUUUGGAGACUGGGUCAAAAUCCGGAUCCACAAGAGAAAAUGGAACCAGCCAAGAAGGAUGGGGCCAUUUGAGGUAACCAUGGCAACACCAAAGGCGGUCAGAGUUCAGGAAAGAUCCGGCUGGCACCACCUGUCCCACUGCCAGAAGGUGUACCGCCCACAGGAGAUUAUGGAGCCAGACACAGCCUGAAACAAGAGACAGAAGCAGAUGCGCUAUCGACAACGGUCAGUGAAAAAAAGUUGUGAUGGACUACUUUCUGGAGGACGAUCAUGCCAUGCUGACUCUCUCGGACUCUGAAAACUGAAUCAGACGAUGAGGAAAUCCCCGAUUUAGCAUCAGUAGAACAUGCCUGACUCUACCCCACCAGUCAUACAAGGAGAAUGUUCUAAUGCCUCCCAUCAAAAAGAGAGCUGGCCCAAGCAAGCACAGGUUACACCUGAAGCAUGAGGACUUGCAGCAAGUGGUGAACUUCAACAACUACGCAGAGGAUAAUGCAAUAGUAUUACCAGGACACCACCCAGGACACAAACUCUUUGGUGGAAAGCUGCUGCCAUCCCAUGUGACAAAAGCAGCAGUGUGGCGUCUCUACAAGGAAUCUGUCUCAGGGGGCCCCUACUGAACCAGCAAACAGUCUGGACCUUCACUUCCAAGAUCAAAGGCCACACCAAGUUUGCCCCCGACUGGUGCUUCGGCCUCAUCAAGCAGCGCUUCAGAAAGACCAGAGUGAACACUGUCUGAGAUUGCUGGUGUUGUGAAGUACAGCACUGUGAUAGGGGUCAACAUCCCACAGCUGGUUGGACUGGAGGAUGAUACGGUGCUGGUGGAAAGCUAUGGCCGGCAACAACACUUGACUUCGUACUUCAGGCCGCUGCCACAGAUCAAGCAGUACCAGCACUUCAGAUGGUCUGCCUGUACAAGCACCACCUGGACUGGACACAGCUAGACAAACUUACAGUUUUGAGAAUAUUAUAUGGACAUCACAUGCCCUGCACCAAAGUCAGGACAGAAACAUGCGUGGUUCAGAUGGACCAGUCAUUAGCACUAUCUGCAGUGCCUCUAUUCAAAUGACUCUCUCCUAACAUAUGUUGCUGCUACAAUUUUUUCUAUCCUGCUGCUCAGCCUCUUUACCCCUGAUUGUAUGCAUAUAACUACCUCGUCUAUCACUAUCUAUUGAUAUUGUUCUUGUACAUACUGUAUAUUAUUUUAUUUAUAUUGACACUAUUUCUGAUAUUGCUACGAUGCAACUAACCAUUUGGCUGUACUGUUUACACCUUCUGUAGAGACCCAUCCACUUAGCAAAAUAUUGAUAUAUAAAAUGAAUAUUGAUAUGUGUGGUCGUAACAUGAUUUUGUGACAUACCACAACAAUAUCAUGUAACUGUAUCAAGUGUCCACCACAUAUGGCGCAUGCAUCUUUAUGUACAUGUGCACCUCACUCAGGUUUCAACUCAGGUUGCAUGGCCUUACCAUGUGAUAAGUGCGUGUGUAACAGUAUAUAAAGUAUGCUAAUGUACUGGCGUGAAGGCAUUUGGGCAAUGGUGUAAAGUACUUUAGUACUUUAAAAUAUUUUAAAGUACUUUAGUACUUUAAAAUAUUUUGGGGGGUUAUCUGUACAUUACUUUACCAUUUAUAUUUUUGCCUACUUUUACUUCAUUAGAUUCUGAAAUAAAAUCAUGUAAAUUUUCCCUGACACCCAAAAGUACAUUUUGACAGGAAAAUUGUCCAAUUCACACACUUAUCAAGAGAACAUCCCUGGUCAUCCAUACUGCAUCUGAUCUGGCAGACUCAAUAAACAAAUGCUUUGUUUGUAAAUUAUGGCUAUCCAUCAAUAUAAAUAAAAAUGGUGCAGUCUGGUUUAAUAAGGAAUUUUAAAUGAUUUAUAUUUUUACUAAAGUAUGACUAUUUAGUACUUUUUCCACCACUGGAUGUGGCUGGGGGUUAUAGCAUUUUUCACAUGACCCAUCAAUUUAGACGAGUGUGUCUGGGUGAGCGUCAUCUAAUAUUUAUAAAAUAUUUUAUCUGGACACUUUCUGUUUACCUGGAAUUGUUCUUUAUUGUAGGCUACUACCACUUUUAAUCUUUACUACACUACUCACUGUUUAGCACAUGACCUCACAUGUGAAUCCUUAAAGAGAUGGGUGGAGCUAGCUUAAGAGGGUGUGAACAAUGCUGAAUGGGUGUAGACAAAGCAGAGCUCUCCAGUAGGUACUAAAACAUUCAAGGCCCUUUUCUCAAAAGUCAAUUUACAAGUUCAACAACUUUCAAAGCAGAAUUACUUUACAAGUUUUACUAAAAAAUGCAGUGUAUGAUAUCAUUUUGUAGCUCUCAGUACCUACUUUUAUCCGAUGUAAAAAAAACAUUUCAAAUUCUGCUACAUAUUAUUUGAUUCAGUGAUUGAAAUUAAGACCCCAUUCUCAGUAGCCUAUU
rnacentral:lncRNA from 1 species